rnacentral:rRNA from 1 species
UACGUAGGGACCGGGCGUUGUCCGGAAUCAUUGGGCGUAAAGAGCGUGUAGGCGGCUCGCUAAGUCUUGCGUGAAAUCUCGGGGCUCAACCCCGAGCGGUCGUGAGAAACUGGCGGGCUAGAGUGCGGGAGAGGAGAGUGGAAUUCCUGGUGUAGCGGUGAAAUGUGUAGAGAUCGGGAGGAACACCGGUGGCGAAGGCGGGUCUCUGGGCAUCUCCUGACGCUGAGGCGCGAAAGCGUGGGGAGCAAACGGG